AAUACAUGCAAGUCGAGCGAACAGACGAGGAGCUUGCUCUUCUGACGUUAGCGGCGGACGGGUGAGUAACACGUGGGUAACCUACCUAUAAGACUGGGAUAACUCCGGGAAACCGGGGCUAAUACCGGAUAACACAUGAAACCGCAUGGUUUCAUGAUGAAAGACGGUUUUGCUGUCACUUAUAGAUGGACCCGCGGCGUAUUAGCUAGUUGGUAAGGUAACGGCUUACCAAGGCAACGAUACGUAGCCGACCUGAGAGGGUGAUCGGCCACACUGGAACUGAGACACGGUCCAGACUCCUACGGGAGGCAGCAGUAGGGAAUCUUCCGCAAUGGGCGAAAGCCUGACGGAGCAACGCCGCGUGAGUGAUGAAGGUCUUCGGAUCGUAAAACUCUGUUAUUAGGGAAGAACAAUGAUGUAAGUAACUGUGCAUCCCUUGACGGUACCUAAUCAGAAAGCCACG
rnacentral:rRNA from 1 species